GCAUGAGGUAUAGGAUGGGUUCUAGGGUUUCUGAUUGCUCUAGUUUUGUGUGAAAAAAUCACAAGAGAGUCUUAUUUUAUUUCUUCCACACCACUUCCUCCUUGAUAAGUUCCAUCUUCUGAUUUGAAGGUAUUUGGGUGAUCCGAAGGAAGGAGUCUUCAUCAGCCAUUUAGAGCCUUCUAUGCGAGCUAGCACUCCCGAGAAGGAUGAUUAGUUUGAGACUUCGAAUGGAC
rnacentral:lncRNA from 1 species